rnacentral:rRNA from 1 species
AUAUCAAUAAGCGGAGGAAAAGAAACCAACAGGGAUUAGCCUCAGUAACGGCGAGUGAAGCGGUCAACAGCUCAAAUUUGAAAUCUGGCUCUUCACGAGUCCGAGUUGUAAUUUGUAGAAGAUGCUUCGAGCAUGUGGUACUGGUCUAAGUUCCUUGGAACAGGACGUCAUAGAGGGUGAGAAUCCCGUAUGUGACUGGUCAGGUGCCUUACGCUCAUGUGAAGCUCCUUCGACGAGUCGAGUUGUUUGGGAAUGCAGCUCAAAAUGGGUGGUAAAUUUCAUCUAAAGCUAAAUAUUGGCCAGAGACCGAUAGCGCACAAGUAGAGUGAUCGAAAGAUGAAAAGCACUUUGGAAAGAGAGUUAAACAGUAC